CUAGAGAUAUGUCACAAGGCCCCCUGUGGGCAGGGGUCAGGAAGAAGAGGUGAGUCACAUAACCCAGGGGCUGGGUCCAGUAAUAUGUCACAAUGACCCAGUGGGAUGGGCCCAGGCAUGAAAGGAGAGUCACAUCACAUAGGUGCUGGACCAAGCAAUACAUCAACAUUCCCACUGUGAACCAAGCAAUACAUCACCAUUCUCACCAAGCAAGACAUCACCAUUCCCACAGGAGAAAGAGGAGAGUCAGGUCAUCAAGGUGAUGGGCCCAGAGAUAUGUGACAAUGACCCCUGUGGGCAGGGACCAGGCAGAAGAAUCACAUUUCCCUUGUGCUUGACCCAGCAAUAAAUCACUCUCUAUUCUGUGGGUAUGGUCCAGUUAGAGAGCAGAGUCCCAUCACCUAGGUGCUGGGCCCAGAGAUACGUCACAAUCUCUUCGAUGAACAAAGCCCAGAUACACUCAACCACAGAUCCUAUUAACUGGCAACCUGAAGGUUUAUGCACCUUGAGGACUGCUGAACACCUUGACACAGCUAGCUCGUGCAUCUAAGAGAUUGACUGAGGCAGCAGCUUUGAAAUACUUCUUCAACUACUGCAAAGACUGCAAGAUAUCCAUUAAAGCACAAUUUACUUCAUCAGCAAGCCUUCUGCAAGCUGUUCCCAAAAAGGGUGAAAUGAGCUGUGGCCUGGAAAGG
rnacentral:lncRNA from 1 species